GGAGUGUGACUUUUUACUCAGGUAGAUAAUUAGGAGAAGGGGGAAUGCUUUUAAGCUAAGAAAGGGGAGAUUAGAUUAUAAGUUGGGUGGAAAUUCUUUACUCAGAGGGUGGUGAAGCACUAGAACAGGUUGCCCAAAGGUGUGG